GUUGUAGAUGUGAGGUUAGCUAGGGUUUAGCAGGGUAUAUCAGUGUUGUAGAUGUGAGGUUAGCUAGGGUUUAGCAGGGUGUAUCAGUGUUCUAGAUGUGAGGUUAUCUAGGGUUUAGCAGGGUGUAUCAGUGUUCUAGUGAGGUUAGCUAGGGUUUAGCAGGGUGUAUCAGUGUUCUAGUGAGGUUAGCUAGGGUUUAGCAGGGUGUAUCAGUGUUGUAGAUGUGAGGUUAGCUAGGGUUUAGCAGGGUGUAUCAGGGUGCUUUAGCCAGCCAUAGGGGCGUUGUCUGGGGGGUAGUGGUGCUUGGCGGGAGGCUGUGCCUGCUGUGACAGAAGAGGCCAGCUGUCAACCAACUGUCUCCUACCAACUGUCUGUGUGUGUGUGUGUGUGUGUGUGUGUGUGUGUGUGUGGUCAAAGGACCACCAGCCAUGCCCUCAAUGCUGAGACAGACAGACAGCUGGGGGCAGUUGGC
ensembl:lncRNA